rnacentral:tRNA from 1 species
GCCACUCAGGUCGCUUAUCGCGCCUGCAAAACGCGAGCAGGAAGGUAGCCACCCCUUUGCUUGGGUGGCA